UUUUGGCUAGCUCAAUUGGUAGAGCUCUGGAUCUCAAGGUUGUGGGUUCAAGCCCCACGUUGGGCAAA